CCAUACAUGAAGACUUCAUACCCAAACCAAAAACUUUUUCCCAAUCAUUACACAGCUGUCACGGGGACCUAUCCGGAAUUUCAUGGAAUCGUGGCGAGCACCUUUUUUGAUCCAGAGUUGAACGCCACGUUCCAGAAAGGCUCCGAGGAGUCUCUGAAGAGCCACUGGUGGGGAGCUGAACCCAUCUGGAAUACUCUCUCCGACCAGGUAA